rnacentral:tRNA from 1 species
GCGGGUGUAGUAUAAUGGCUUAUUAUGUCUGGCUUCCAACCAGAGGAUGCGGGUUCGAUUCCCGUCACCCGCUCCA